rnacentral:tRNA from 1 species
AAAGGGAGACCUAAUUCAGGUAGGAGACGAAAAAAAGUAGUCCCUACCAAGAAUCAAUCCCAAAAGGUCGGAGCGAGGCAAAAUUGGCUUUCAAACUAGGUUCUGGGUUCACAUAAGACCUGAAUCAGGAACAAGGGCUAUUAGCUCAGGUGGUUAGAGCGCACCCCUGAUAAGGGUGAGGUCCCUGGUUCGAGUCCAGGAUGGCCCACCUGCACAGGUGGCAAAAACAAAGAAAAGAAGCCCCGAAUCAGCACCUUAUCUUACUCAUAUAGUAAGAGAGAAUGCUGGCUCUGAGUACAGAGUCCAGAGGAACCUUGAAAACUGCAUAGAGCUAGGUGAAAAAGCCAAAAAAGAAGACCGCAAG